AUGGACGCAUCCAGCCAGACCCAAGGGGCUGGGGGCCCUGCUGGAGUGAUUGGACCCUGGGCGCCCGCCCCCCUCCGAUUGGGAGAGGCAGCCCCAGGGACCCCCACACCCGUCUCCGUGGCUCACCUUUUGUCCCCCAUGGCCACAGAGCUGGUGCCCUACACGCCGCAGAUAACAGCCUGGGACCUGGAAGGGAAGGUCACAGCCACCACCUUCUCCCUGGAGCAACCGCGCUGUGUCUUCGAUGGGCGUGCCAGCGCCAGUGACACCGUCUGGCUCGUGGUGGCCUUCAGCAAUGCCUCCAGGGGCUUCCAGAACCCAGAGACACUGGCUGACAUCCCGGCCUCCCCACAGCUGCUGACCGAUGGCCACUACAUGACGCUGCCCCUGUCUCUGGACCGGCUACCCUGUGACGACCCCAUGGCGGGCAGCGGUGGCGCCCCUGUGCUGCGGGUGGGCCAUGACCACAGCUGCCACCAGCAGCCCUUCUGCAAUGCGCCCCUCCCUGGCCCUGGACCCUAUCG
rnacentral:sRNA from 1 species